rnacentral:rRNA from 1 species
GAUGAACGCUGGCGGCGUGCCUAAUACAUGCAAGUCGAGCGAACGGACGAGAAGCUUGCUUCUCUGAUGUUAGCGGCGGACGGGUGAGUAACACGUGGAUAACCUACCUAUAAGACUGGGAUAACUUCGGGAAACCGGAGCUAAUACCGGAUAAUAUUUUGAACCGCAUGGUUCAAAAGUAAAAGACGGUCUUGCUGUCACUUAUAGAUGGAUCCGCGCUGCAUUAGCUAGUUGGUAAGGUAACGGCUUACCAAGGCAACGAUGCAUAGCCGACCUGAGAGGGUGAUCGGCCACACUGGAACUGAGACACGGUCCAGACUCCUACGGGAGGCAGCAGUAGGGAAUCUUCCGCAAUGGGCGAAAGCCUGACGGAGCAACGCCGCGUGAGUGAUGAAGGUCUUCGGAUCGUAAAACUCUGUUAUUAGGGAAGAACAUAUGUGUAAGUAACUGUGCACAUCUUGACGGUACCUAAUCAGAAAGCCACGGCUAACUACGUGCCAGCAGCCGCGGUAAUACGUAGGUGGCAAGCGUUAUCCGGAAUAUUGGGCGUAAAGCGCGCGUAGCGGUUUUUUAGUCUGAUGUGAAAGCCCACGGCUCAACCGUGGAGGGUCAUUGGAAACUGGAAAACUUGAGUGCAGAAGAGGAAAGUGGAAUUCCAUGUGUAGCGGUGAAAUGCGCAGAGAUAUGGAGGAACACCAGUGGCGAAGGCGACUUUCUGGUCUGUAACUGACGCUGAUGUGCGAAAGCGUGGGGAUCAAACAGGAUUAGAUACCCUGGUAGUCCACGCCGUAAACGAUGAGUGCUAAGUGUUAGGGGGUUUCCGCCCCUUAGUGCUGCAGCUAACGCAUUAAGCACUCCGCCUGGGGAGUACGACCGCAAGGUUGAAACUCAAAGGAAUUGACGGGGACCCGCACAAGCGGUGGAGCAUGUGGUUUAAUUCGAAGCAACGCGAAGAACCUUACCAAAUCUUGACAUCCUUUGACAACUCUAGAGAUAGAGCCUUCCCCUUCGGGGGACAAAGUGACAGGUGGUGCAUGGUUGUCGUCAGCUCGUGUCGUGAGAUGUUGGGUUAAGUCCCGCAACGAGCGCAACCCUUAAGCUUAGUUGCCAUCAUUAAGUUGGGCACUCUAAGUUGACUGCCGGUGACAAACCGGAGGAAGGUGGGGAUGACGUCAAAUCAUCAUGCCCCUUAUGAUUUGGGCUACACACGUGCUACAAUGGACAAUACAAAGGGCAGCGAAACCGCGAGGUCAAGCAAAUCCCAUAAAGUUGUUCUCAGUUCGGAUUGUAGUCUGCAACUCGACUACAUGAAGCUGGAAUCGCUAGUAAUCGUAGAUCAGCAUGCUACGGUGAAUACGUUCCCGGGUCU